GUGGGGAAUUUUGGACAAUGGGGGCAACCCUGAUCCAGCCAUGCCGCGUGCGGGAAGAAGGCCUUCGGGUUGUAAACCGCUUUUGUCAGGGAAGAAAUCCUUUGGGUUAAUACCUCGGAGGGAUGACGGUACCUGAAGAAUAAGCACCGGCUAACUACGUGCCAGCAGCCGCGGUAAUACGUAGGGUGCGAGCGUUAAUCGGAAUUACUGGGCGUAAAGCGUGCGCAGGCGGUUUUGUAAGAUCGAUGUGAAAUCCCCGGGCUCAACCUGGGAACUGCAUUGGUUACUGUGAGGCUGGAGUGCGGCAGAGGGAGAUGGAAUUCCGCGUGUAGCAGUGAAAUGCGUAGAUAUGCGGAGGAACACCGAUGGCGAAGGCAAUCCCCUGGGCCUGCACUGACGCUCAUGCACGAAAGCGUGGGGAGCAAACAGGAUUAGAAACCCGAGUAGUCC
rnacentral:rRNA from 1 species